rnacentral:rRNA from 1 species
UACGUAGGGUGCGAGCGUUAAUCGGAAUUACUGGGCGUAAAGCGUGCGCAGGCGGUUCUGUAAGUCAGAUGUGAAAUCCCCGGGCUCAACCUGGGAACUGCGUUUGAAACUACAGGACUAGAGUAUGGCAGAGGGGGGUAGAAUUCCACGUGUAGCAGUGAAAUGCGUAGAGAUGUGGAGGAAUACCAAUGGCGAAGGCAGCCCCCUGGGUCAAUACUGACGCUCAUGCACGAAAGCGUGGGGAGCAAACAGGAUUAGAUACCCUGGUAGUCCACGCCCUAAACGAUGUCUACUAGUUGUUGGGAGAGUAAAAUCUCUUAGUAACGCAGCUAACGCGCGAAGUAGACCGCCUGGGGAGUACGGUCGCAAGAUUAAA